rnacentral:rRNA from 1 species
AUGAACGCUGGCGGCGUGCCUAAUACAUGCAGGUCGAGCGCACAGACGAGGAGCUUGCUCCUCUGAUGUUAGCGGCGGACGGGUGAGUAACACGUGGAUAACCUACCUAUAAGACUGGGAUAACUUCGGGAAACCGGAGCUAAUACCGGAUAACAUGUUGAACCGCAUGGUUCAACAGUGAAAGACGGUCUUGCUGUCACUUAUAGAUGGAUCCGCGCCGCAUUAGCUAGUUGGUAAGGUAACGGCUUACCAAGGCAACGAUGCGUAGCCGACCUGAGAGGGUGAUCGGCCACACUGGAACUGAGACACGGUCCAGACUCCUACGGGAGGCAGCAGUAGGGAAUCUUCCGCAAUGGGCGAAGGCCUGACGGAGCAACGCCGCGUGAGUGAAGAAGGUCUUCGGAUCGUAAAACUCUGUUAUUAGGGAAGAACAAAUGUGUAAGUAACUAUGCACGUCUUGACGGUACCUAAUCAGAAAGCCACGGCUAACUACGUG